GAGGCCUUCAAAGCAGGUCACUCAAACAAGGUUUGUCAUGGAAUUUUUUUUGACGUUAAAAUGAAGUACAAAUAUAAGAACAAACUUUAAAUUGAAAUUUAAUUUUGAAUUUGAUAAAAAAAGGAUAAUAAAAAAAAUUGUGGGUGAAUUUUAUUGUAUAAAUUACCGAAACACCUUCAGGUUAGGUUUGAGGAUGCAUCAUCGCGGUUCGAGGACCUAUUGCGCUUCAAAAUUAGGUUUAGACCUCAUUUCAAGGACAUCAUGAACGAAAAUACAACAGUUUGACAGUUGAAGAUUCCUCAAGGUCAGUCAAGGUCAUCCAAAAUCUGCAAUAUCCAUGUAUCCGCCAUCGAAAAAUUUGACCAGAGAAAAAAAGGAAAAACUUUCCAUUGAUUCCGAUAUUUUGAAUCAAUAUUAAUCUCAACCUGCAUUUAAAACACUUCCCUUUGUAUGUGGGUCGCUUCGUCAUGGAUAUCAGUUACGCAGUAUAAACAUAAAAAAAAAUUCUUCUUCUUCCCGGAAGGUCAAUUGUAUCAUCAUCAUCAUCAUAGCGUCGCCUAAGAAAAAUCACUCAUGUAGCCAAAAAUGUGAUGAAAAGUAUUCUGCAUGGUAUUUGAGCAUCGACGUAAUACAAAACUUUUCCUUAAAAAAACGACGAAAAAAUCGUGCUUUGGGUUAAAUUUUAAGUCUUCAAUGAGUUAUGAAAAAUCUAAACAAACAAAAAAAAUUGACCCAUUUUCCAUACUGCUAAACUCACAACAAUCCGUAACAGUUAAUGUUUUGUCAUUUGAUCUCAUUUCUACACAAGCAGAAUGACGCAAACAACAAAAAAAAAAGUAAAUUCCUCAAUUAUUGACAUGGUAACAAGGAAUCCUUAUUACUGAUGUUUGAGUUAUUUAUAAAUUUAAAAAAAAAAUGAGAUUUUCUGAAUUGUUACUCGCACGUGUAUAAAUAAAAAAAAACUUACCUUCCAGACGACCACAUUUCGAAUUUCUUCUAGUUGCUUGGAUACUUCUGAAAUAAAGAGAGUAAACUAAUAAAAUCAAAUUCAAUGGAGCUUUCAUCAAAUAGCGAUACUAAAAUUUAAUUUUUGAGAGCCACAAAUUAAAAGUUGGUUAGUAACAACGAGCGGUUGAGCCUAUUCAGCAUCAAUGAGUCUAUAUCACAAAAUUAUGUAACAAAAUGCCUCCAACGCUAAUAUUUAGCUAAGUAAUUGCUACAUAUAAUGCCUUUAGCAAAUUUCAUUGGAGAGCAAGCCGCAUGUUAAUUUCAGACAGAAUUUCAUUAUUUUCCGGACAACAACCAUAAUUACAAAAGGUCGUGUUUAACUUUUUGCGUGGAUUUGAAUUUUGCUACAGGUACUUACUGUGAAAAUUUACAAAACUUGAAUAGGAAAGGCAUAGAGCAUAUGAAUUUGAGUUACGAAAGUUUUUCAGGAGGAAUAUCUUAUAAAAUGUUAAUAUUUAGUAUAUGGUGCAUUCCAUUCUAAAAAAUACCAAAAUCACGGUUUUGAUUUUUACCGAUUUCUUCAUAAAACAGUUGUAGAAAUGAAAAACUGAAUAGUUUAUCGUGAUGUCCAUCAAAAAAGAAGAAAUUUUUGCUUUGGCGAAAUUUCUUUACCCUUAUUUUUAAAAAUUUUGUGAUAGUUUUAAAAAAUUUUUAUCGAAAAAUCCGUGUAGCGAAAAAAAGGUCAAAAUUUCAACUUUAUUAUUUUAAAAUUUUUGUUCACCAGGAUUGUUUGUCAUCUCGAGUACAUAAAUUUUUGCCAUGAAACAUAUGGUUGGAAACGAACUGUUUGGUCAGAAAAGCCAAAAAUGUGAUAUUUUUGCGUUUUUAAAAAAUUUUGAACCAUUGAUAAAAAUUUUUAAAAUAAGUCGAAAAUAAAUGUUGUCUUAGCAAAAGUUUCUUAUUUUCGGAUGGACAUCAAGAUAGGGUAAUAAGAUCUGUACUUUUAUAGGUAAAUUUAAAAUCCGGGAUUUCGGUAUUUUUUAGAAUGGAAUGCACCAUAUAUAUAAAAUAUAUAUA